GCCAGCGUGGUAUAGUGGUUUGAGUGUUGGACUAUGACUCAGGAGACCAGGGUUCAAAUCCCUACUCGGCCA